AUUGAACGCUGGCGGCAGGCCUAACACAUGCAAGUCGAACGAGUGGCGGACGGGUGAGUAAUGUCUGGGAAACUGCCCGAUGGAGGGGGAUAACUACUGGAAACGGUAGCUAAUACCGCAUACCAUCGGAUGUGCCCAGAUGGGAUUAGCUAGUAGGUGGGGUAAUGGCUCACCUAGGCGACGAUCCCUAGCUGGUCUGAGAGGAUGACCAGCGACACUGGGACUGAGACACGGCCCAGACGCCGACGGGAGGCAGCAGUGGGGAAGAUUGCACAAUGGGCGCAAGCCUGAUACAGCCACGCGGCGGGUAUGAAGAAGGCCUACGGGUUGUAAAGUACUUUCAGCGGUGAUGCGUUACCCGCAGAAGAAGCACCGGCUAACUCCGUGCCAGCCGCCGCGGUAAUAC
rnacentral:rRNA from 1 species